ACUUGGGAACACACAUUUCUGUUAAACAACUUAGAAAAUGAGAGGUGGGUUGGGGCUUGAAGUACAUGGGAGACACGAAUGUUGUAAAACUGUCAGGAGACGAAAAAUUCCUUUCUGAAGUUUAUCUUCUGUGAAAGGGGUGAGGGCAGUUUGUUUACUAAGUAAUGUUGCCUUUAAGUACAGUGGUGUAUUUUUAUUCAAGAUUGUGCUCUUUUAUCAAAAUCCUAUGGAAAUAAAUGUUCUGGGAUCAU